rnacentral:lncRNA from 1 species
UCGGCAGCGGCAGCGCGCUCGGGGAGGGCGAGUUCGAGAAGCCCGUCCCUGCGUACACCUGCGCCGCUGCCUCUCCCCUCUUCGGCAUCUCGCCGCCUUUCCUGCCCAUCCGGCGGUUUCCGCCGGCGGAGUCGGCUCUCUUGGUCGGCUUCGCCCACCGCUCGCGCUGCUUCCUGCCCUCCGGCGGAGGCCGGCGGUGGGAGACCGGACUGGGUUUCCGGCGGGGGGCGAGGGCGGGGAUGGGCGCUUCGAGGAAGUUAUGGGGUCGCAACACCCGGGUGGUCAUGGCGGUGGAUGGCAAGC